rnacentral:rRNA from 1 species
AUACGGAGGGUGCAAGCGUUAUCCGGAAUCACUGGGUUUAAAGGGUGCGUAGGCGGUUUGAUAAGUCAGAGGUGAAAGGCUACGGCUUAACUGUGGGAUUGCCUUUGAUACUGUUGGACUGGAAUUGAGUUGAAGUUAGUGGAAUGCGGCAUGUAGCGGUGAAAUGCAUAGAUAUGUCGUAGAACACCGAUUGCGAAGGCAGCUAACUGGGCUUAAAUUGACGCUGAGGCACGAAAGCGUGGGGAUCGAACAGGAUUAGAUACCCUGGUAGUCCACGCCCUAAACGAUGCUAACUCGAUGUGUGGCAGGAAUGUUGCGCGUCUAAGGGAAACCGUUAAGUUAGCCACCUGGGGAGUACGUUCGCAAGAAUGAA